rnacentral:rRNA from 1 species
UACGUAGGGUGCAAGCGUUAAUCGGAAUUACUGGGCGUAAAGCGUGCGCAGGCGGCUUUGCAAGACAGAUGUGAAAUCCCCGGGCUCAACCUGGGAACUGCAUUUGUGACUGCAUGGCUAGAGUACGGUAGAGGGGGAUGGAAUUCCGCGUGUAGCAGUGAAAUGCGUAGAGAUGUGGAGGAAUACCAAUGGCGAAGGCAGCCCCCUGGGUUAACACUGACGCUCAUGCACGAAAGCGUGGGGAGCAAACAGG